GUCAGUUGGGCUAAAGUUUUAGCCAAAUCAGCUUACUUUAGAUGAGCUGAAUUUGACGGGUCAAGAUGGUUGAGUUUCUAAAUAUCGGGUCAUAUUUUUAUAGGUUAAUCUUUCUUCAUUAUUGCCAUCAUCUUCUCUCAGUCUAUCCCGUAGAAGAUCUAAAUGACUUUUCAGGGGCUGCGGCUUAACCGCAUUCAUUUGCUUUCAUCGAUGGAUCAAGGUAAGUGUACUAGUUUUCAUUCAAAAUAUUAAAGUAGGCUAAUGAUUCAAAUAGAUCUUGGGUUAGAUUGAUCGUUGGAAUCACAAAACUAAAAUACUGCGUAUAUAAAAUUUUGCGCAUCAAAUUAGGUGCACGUAAUCCAUGGUUUUUUUGCCAAAAUAGAUAUUUCGUCUAUAUAUUUUUAAGAAUUGAUUUAAUAUUAUCUAUUGAUCCCUAUGCUCCAAAAAAUAUUGGAUGAUACACUUGGUUGAAUAUAUACUGAGUAAUUUACUUAGAGGACUGAAGAUCAAUUCACACUUAAUACUUUUCUUUUUCCUUUUAUUAGUAGUGCACCCAUAUUUUAAAAAUUCUAGAUCCCUCUCAUUAUAUCUCUCCUAAAUAGGGAAUCCAUAAACUAUAACCACUACACUGAAGCCUUGUUAUGAAUCAAUGAACUUCACAGCUACACUACAUAGAAUUUUUUUCCUAACAAGAUACAAAAUAUAUGUAACUGAUAUUUAGCUUAAAGUACAUAUAUUUAUAUGUAUAUCACCUCAUGUUUUACUCGUGUUUCAUGAAUUUCAGAUGUAAAAUGUAUUGAUUUAUGUAAAUUCUUGUAUUUUUAUAUGUAAGAAUCAUCCGGAGGCAAUAGGGGGCGAAAGGUGCAAGAUUAGAGCCAAAAAGGAGAAAAAGGUUGAAAAUGGCCAUUGUAGCGCCACGGGCAGCGUGGGGCGCUACCCGUGGCGCAAUUUCCAGAAGCUUUAUUUUUCCGGUGCCAGGGAUAGCGCCCCACGCUACCCUGGGCGCUGGUGACGGGAAACAUCUCAUACUUUGCCCGGGACAAGGUUAUAUCGGCCCAAGACCUACCAAACGCAUAUAAAAGCAAGACUAAGCCUAUUUUGGGAGGAGAGACGCCACUUUGAAGGGAAAAUACACACAAGGAAUAUCCGGGAGCAAGGAUAUCUCAGUUUUCUUUAUCUUUUCUUAGUAUUUUAAAUUAGUCAACACUUGUGACUUUGUUUUGAUAUUAUCAUGAGUGGCUAAAACCCAUAGUUCUGAGGUUGUGAUUUAGCCAUGAAUAUUAUUGUUUAAAGUUGACUUAACCUUGAUUACAAUUCACCAAUAUAUGGUUGUUUCUUCAAUUCUGUGAUUAAUUACUUAAUUGUUUGGC
rnacentral:lncRNA from 1 species